rnacentral:tRNA from 1 species
GGAGAGUAAGAGAGGACUACUAAUCCUUGUGACUUGUUUAGGAGCAGGGCUCUUUG